GCCCUCUGCCUGUGGGAACGGCGGGUGGGCGCCGGGAGGUGAGCGGAAGGGGUCUGUCGCGCGCUGCCCCGCGGCUCCCCGUCGCGCUCUGUGUUCGCUAGAACGCGGGCAGCUCCUAUAGGGCCGGCGUGCGGAGAAUUAUGAGGAAGUCCGUUAAUGAAUAACGUGUGCCACUGAUCGCAAGCAGGCUCCCGUCUGCUACUCGGCUGGCCGUUAGAACCGGCUGAGGGCCUACUGGAGCCCACAGAGUUAAGGAGGGCACCCCGGCCCUCGGCCAUACCCGGCGGCGGGGCAGCGCUCCCCCUCAGCUCGGCCUCCGCCCGCAGCCUUUCCCGCGCCGCCUGCCGAGCCGCCCCGCCGCGCUCUGGAGGCAGGUGCGUACCUUCCGGUCCUUGUGGUACCGACUCAUACUGUGUUCGCUAGCAGCAACACUAGCAGGUUUGCUGCUGGAAGAAAAAAAAAUAUGAUUACAUUUGUCAUAGCAACAGCCUCUGACUGUAACAGCAGGCAGACCGGGUCAGGCUGCUGGGGAAGAGUACAGCACACCGGCCAGGCCUUCAACCUCACUGCAUGCCUGUGGCAGCAGCGUACAGCACCACUCCUCAGCCAUCAGGUUGGAAGGAAAGGUGAGCAAGGAGGGAUGCGGCAUUGGCACAGAUGGGGCCUUCAGGUCUCAUGAACAGGGAAAGAAUUGCCAACUGAUUCCUUACCAGGGUGUCUCUUACAGCUUCACAGUGUGGAACAUGCCAGUCUGACAUUAGUAGGAAUGUGAUUUGGUUCAAGUAAAACUGCCCUUAGUUACAUGAAGUUUAAUUUGCCUCCAUCUGGUCACACACAUGACUUACUUACCUCCUUAGCACCAGGUCAGAAGCUGGGGGAUUCCUGCUCUGAUGCUUUUUUUUUUUUUAGCUGUGAGGCUUUAGGUGAAAGGAUUACAGCACACUGUCAGGAUAAAAAUAAGACGAUUGUAACAUGCUCUGGCUUUUGGCAUCGUGUGCUGCUUUGAUUAAAAGAAAGGCUACAGAAAGGCUGGUGUAAGAAUCAGUUAUGGUAUUCUGGCAGGGAUUAGUCUUAAGGAAAGAUGCAUAUCUGGAAACCAAAUGUUAGGAGGUCACAAAGUAUUAAAUCUUGCAGAUUUUUGAAGACACUCAUACUUUAAGAUUCAGGAAUAGACUAUGACUGCUUUUUGAAUAAUAUAAUCACUGCCAGACUCACUCUGAAGAAUAAAUCAGAAAAUUAAUUAGCAAGAUUUGGCACUCCUGCAAAAGCAAUCCUGGCUUUAAUAACACUCUUGCAGUGAGAGUGUUUUCUUCUCUUCCUAUUCAGCAGGCCCAGAUGGCUGUGCUUUCUGCAUCACUUCCCUCUACAGUUCAGUAGUUUGCACAAGCUUAGCGAGAUUACAGGCAUGCAACAGAAAGGUGACACCAGGAAACUACAGAGCAGACAUUUAAAUGUUUUGCUGAAUAAUCUCAAGUAAUUACUUCAUUUAGUGUUCUGUGUCAAUCCUUGGAAGGAGAGGCUGAGAGUAAUCAUGAAAUGUGGUUCUCCCAUAUGGCAGGCGAGGACAUAAACUUUUCUGUUAAGACUGGAUCAAAACAGUUCCUGGCAUAUGUUCAUUAGGGGAUAUAUUUUUCACUUAGUGCAUGAGAUCUUAGUCAUUUGUAAGAGCAGCCACUUUAUUCCAGCACUGCAGUGUUUAGUUAUUCUUUAAGUACUCUUUAUGUCCAGGCUUUGCUAGAUGAUAAAGAGUAAGGCAAUUUCAGCCUUUUUCAGUUUAUCCCUUAAACACCGAAUACCCAAUGAAGCCUUGGUAAAUGCAAAGCCCAUGGCAUUCUGCAUGUGCAAAUGCAAAGGGAUAUUCUAAAGACCAGGGAGUAGAUGCAGAAAUGUAACAGAGGUAGAACAUAAAUCAUACUGAUGUAUUUACUGAAACAUUUUUCCAUUCGCUCAUGCCUUUCUAUUCUGCAGUUCACACACUAUUCAUUUUUGUAUGACAAUACCACAUCUCAAAUGCAAAAGCAGUUGAAGUUACGCUUAUUUAUUGCUACCUGUUAAUAUUUGCUUCCUAUCCAGCCAUGUAAAGAUUGGAGAGACAGAAAUCCACUGAUGAUUAUACACAUGCACUGUUUAUCACUCAGUGUUAAAGGUAAAUGUGGCCUUAUAACUGCAUACCAUCACUUUCAGUUCUGUGACAACUUAACACUCACCGCAUACUAACUAUGACUCAGGAGAAAACUAAGAGCUGCUAUGUGUACUGAAGCAUUCAGGAAUUUUGGACAAGCAAUAUUUGAAUAAUAAGGAUAAUAGGAAACUACAGAAAAAUCUACAUUCUUCAAGGUUUGUCUGUGGAACAGAAUGAAGAUCUGGGGACACAAUCUUCAGACCUAAACUCUUCCUCAUGUUCCUUUCAGAGUGAGAUUCUUUCCUUCUCCUCCUGUAAACUUCUCUGAACUCAAAUUUAAUCAGUGGAUAAUAUUUAAGGAUAAAAUAAAAGUUAUUUCUUAUUGCAUUCAAAUUCUUACUCAUGUUAGUGCUUCUAGUGAAUAAAUAGGUGGAGCCAUCUCUUACUGAGAAAGCAAACAAAGCCUGUUAAGGAUUCCCCUGUGGCUUCACUUCUUAUAAGUCCUUAAUCAGGAGGAAGCAGCAUCUUCUAGGCAGUGAGUUUCAUUUCAAGGCCAUACUUAUAUUUCUAGAUCUAGACUGCUACAGCAGCAGCAUGCACUUCUCUUGCUGCCUACUUUCAUUCUUGGGUUGGCAAAGCCAUUUCUGUUAUUGUGUAAAGAACUCGAACAAUAAUUUGAACUAUAAACUAAUCAUACUACAUUUUUUCUCUGGGUUAGGUUAGAGGCAGUCCAAUCCUUUCAUCAGUAGCUUGGAUUUAUGCCAAAAUUGAAGUGGCUAUUUCUAACCACUGAAGCUUUUAUCUUACUUAAACAUAUCUGUAUCAAAAAAUGUAUUUUAUUACAGAUAGAUAAGUGACAAACACAUGUGAGUCAUUACUAGCUCUUCACUGAGAUGAGAUUCUACUAUUAUUAAACAUUCAGAGAUGCUGAUUAAGUUGGGAUAAAAGCCCUCCAGUCUUUGCUUUGGGAGACAGUGUCUACUAGCUUUUCUGGUAUGUUGUUUAAAAUUCAAGAUAUACUAGAAAACUUAAAUGCUUACAGUAAAUAAGUUCUAAUAACAUGUUUACAGUAAAUAGGUCUCCACAGAUUGAGAAUAAAAAUCUUUAUAAAUUUGAUUUCUUUAUGAAUUAGAGGACUGAGAGAACUCCAAAGAUAUUCCAUUCAGAAGAUUUGAAAAUAAGCACUACCUUUUUAAUGGUCAUUCAUAAACAAAUACUGAAACAACAGUUUGCAUUUUUAUCAUUGUUUGAAAGCCUACAAAAACACAGUUUGGAUUCAAUCAAAUAAAACAAAGUUUCUUUUGUACACAA